rnacentral:rRNA from 1 species
UCGGGAAUUUUGCGCAAUGGACGAAAGUCUGACGCAGCAACGCCGCGUGAGGGAUGACGGCCUUCGGGUUGUAAACCUCUUUGUUCAGGGACGAUGAUGACGGUACCUGACGAAUAAGCCACGGCUAACUACGUGCCAGCAGCCGCGGUAAUACGUAGGUGGCAAGCGUUGUCCGGAUUUACUGGGCGUAAAGAGCGCGCAGGCGGUCGUUCAAGUCGCGUGUGAAAGCCCCCGGCUCAACUGGGGAGGGUCACGCGAUACUGAUCGACUCGAAGGCAGGAGAGGGUAGUGGAAUUCCCGGUGUAGUGGUGAAAUGCGUAGAUAUCGGGAGGAACACCAGUGGCGAAAGGCGACUACCUGGCCUGUUCUUGACGCUGAGGCGCGAAAGCUAGGGGAGCAAACGGGAUUAGAUACCCCGGUAGUCCUAGCCGUAAACGAUGGACACUAGGUGUUGGUGGUAUCAACCCCGCCAGUGCCGAAGCUAACGCAUUAAGUGUCCCGCCUGGGGAGUACGG